CAGCAGCCGCGGUAAUACGAAGGGGGCUAGCGUUGCUCGGAAUGACUGGGCGUAAAGGGCGCGUAGGCGGCGGCCAAAGUCAGGCGUGAAAUUCCUGGGCUCAACCUGGGGGCUGCGCUUGAUACUUGGUUGCUUGAGUGGGGAAGAGGGUCGUGGAAUUCCCAGUGUAGAGGUGAAAUUCGUAGAUAUUGGGAAGAACACCGGUGGCGAAGGCGGCGACCUGGUCCUUUACUGACGCUGAGGCGCGAAAGCGUGGGGAGCAAACAGGAUUAGAUACCCCGGUAGUCCCUGUCUCUUAUAA
rnacentral:rRNA from 1 species